GUAAGUCUGAGAGAGAGCAUUCAUUGAGAGCAUGCUCUGUGUCAGCCAUUGUGGUGAAUACUGUAUAUCUCUAGUACCUUUUCAUCUUCACCUCAUGCCCAGGAGGGGCUACGCAGGGAUGAGCACAGUGAUCCGAAAACACAAGGUUUGGUGAGAGGCAAAGAUGGAGCUGGGCUCGAGCUUUGGUGGAAUUUGAAUAAGCAAAAGGGACAACAUAUGAUUUGUUUUAUUUGGUACCCAAAGGUCUGUGCAUUGAACUUCAGCUGUAAGGGAUUCAGUACUUUGAGUGUAUUACUGCAGCUAUGAAGAAGGAGCCCCAUAAUGAGGAGGAGCUGCUUCCACGGGAUCUGUUGUCUUCCAAGGACUUCAUUCAAGCAUCCUCGUUCUGUUUCUGAGCAAACCAGCUAGUGAGGUGUGACUACUGACUGGCACUUCUCUUCCGUUUGAGAUGAAGGAAACGCCACAGAGAACUGGAUUCUCUUGCUCAACACCAUGCAGCUUACCCCAUGCAGCACCUGACUCUAAUCCAGUUUGCUGGUCCAGGGGAUUGAACCCAGGUUCUCUCACUUGCUAAGCACUGGCUCUAUCAUUCACCUACACCCCGGUCUGGCUUCACAAAUUUAUAUAAAUUCCUUUUGAGAUAUGUUACUAGAAUGCCCUUGACAUUAUGGCCAAUAUACAGCCCAGGUUGGCCUCAAACUUGCAGCAAUCCUCUUGACUCAGCCUCAUCCUCCUGCCUCAGACUGCUGAGGGUUGGGAUUACAGCGCUGAGAACUGACCCCAGAGCCUCAGGCAGACAAUAGAAGGAAAUGGAAGAUUGGCUCUGAAAGGUUAAUUUACUUCUCUAAAGUCACAGUGUUGGAGCGGCUAUACCAAGGUCUCAUUUCUAAUCCUUUCUAUGCUCCAUCAUUAAACUGCUGACAGAUUUCCUAGGACUUUUGUUUGAAGACAGUAAUAUUCUUUCAAACAUUUUUAUAUGGGAGGAAAAUAACCCUACAAUCAAUGACCUCUGUGCUUCCCUCUGUCACAAUAUUAACCAAAAAACAAGUGACAAACUAAUAAUUGGAUUGUCAGGGUUUUUGUCUUCAAGGGUUAGGAGACAAAUUUAGAGGAAAGGGGGGUAUUUUUUUUUUUUU
rnacentral:lncRNA from 1 species